rnacentral:snRNA from 1 species
AGGCCCCCCUAUAUUUAGGCGGGU